UGGCGACCGGCGCACGGGUGAGUAACACGUAUCCAACCUGCCGAUAACUCGGGGAUAGCCUUUCGAAAGAAAGAUUAAUACCCGAUGGUAUAAUCAGACCGCAUGGCUUGAUUAUUAAAGAAUUUCGGUUAUCGAUGGGGAUGCGUUCCAUUAGGCAGUUGGUGAGGUGACGGCUCACCAAACCUUCGAUGGAUAGGGGUUCUGAGAGGAAGGUCCCCCACAUUGGAACUGAGACACGGUCCAA
rnacentral:rRNA from 1 species